rnacentral:lncRNA from 1 species
GUGCACGCACCCUGGGGAUUCAGUGGAAGAGGAGCAAUCUGAAUCCAGCAGUGCUGAGAAAACCCAAGAGCUACAUGGCCAGCAUUUCCCAUCAGAGAGCCAACAGGGCCCCUGGUUUUGCCUUCCCGCCCACCAGCCCUGGUUAAUGGAGCUUUUGUUCUGCCUGAUGCUGCCUUGCUAAUCAGGGUGUAUCAUAUGGGAGCUAUCAGGAGAGCGGGGCCUGCUUCACAAAGGAACACAGGUUGCCUUUAGAGUUGGCUACAAAACUUAGAGCUUGGUGAUGGCUCAGGCACAAAAGAGCUGGCUGUACUUGAGGCUGACUUCCAUUCUACCUGUGACUAUUACAUUCAAGGUAGUGAACGCUUGAAGCCUCUGGCAUCCUGAUCCCAUGAUUACUGCAGAGAAAAGAGAUGAGAAAACUGAGUCGUAGGGAGGGCACAGCCAACAGGAAAGAAGAGUCAUUAGGAAUAUGUGCUGCACUCUAAUUCCAGAACUGUAAUCAACUGGCCUUUUGAUUUGAGUGAUGUCUAAGGAGCAUGAAGAGUCAUGAAGCAGAGACCUGGCCAUUCCACAGGGGGCAGUCAAAAGAAAAGCCCUGAAACAUCACUCUUUGGUCCAACUAGAAAGGAGUGUGACUGUUAAUAAGGCGCAGGAGUAAGUUGUUAGUCAAAUGGUGUUGGCCAAGAAUCUUUUAGAAUCCCUGUUUUGCAUAUAUUCUGUUGGAUCAAUUUUAUUUCAGAAAAUAAUCAAUCUGUCUUUGAGCCCUGGGUCAGAGGCCAGGGAUUUCAUAAUCCCUGUGGAAAUAAACUCUUUGACAGUUUACAUGUGUGCCUUUUGUCCUCUGUCCUUACCUAUCACAAUCACAUAUUUGGGAGCUUAAUGUAUGCAAAGAAGGGAUGUCUGUGG